GUGUGUGGUGGAGCGGCUCGGCUCCCCGCUGUGCUUGGGCUUGGCGUGUGUCAAGGAGCUCCAGCACAAAGCUCUGCCGGCCGAACUGUGCUGACCCAGUAGCUGCCCUUCCUUCCACAGGAAUGAAGUAGUGAACAGCAGCAGCCUGUGAGGAGCUUUGCUGCUAUUCAGAAGCCGGUGGGGUGAUGUUGCAGCUUCCAGGAGCUGAGGGUUCAAAUCCAAGAAAGGGCUUGGAGUGAAGUGAAUCCUCUAAACAAGGAAGUCUUUUCUCAUGACACCUCGUGGUCUUGGUGCUGGGAGGAGAGCAGGGUGAGCCCUGCUUUCCCCACUGUUGGAGAUGCGUGCUGGGACCCCUCGCCUCCCCUGCUGUUCCCCCUCCCUGCUCGCGGGCACCGCGCUGACGCCUCGCCUGAUGCUCCGCUGAUGCCAUCCCCUCUCGGCAGACGGGCAAUUCACAGCGAUUGCUGAAAGAGGAGAGGCCGAAGGGGAAUUCUGGGCUCCGAGCUCGGCCCGCGGCGCGGCUCGCCCGCGUUUCUGCACGAGGGGGAGGGCAGGUGAGGCACGGCGGGGGUUAACGGAGCCUGAGCAGCCCGGUGGGACAGGGCUGAACUGGGUCCGUUCCCUCCUUCCCCUCCCAGGAAGCGAUGCU
rnacentral:lncRNA from 1 species